AUAACUCACUGCAACCUCAGAAUCCUGGGCUCAAGCGAUCCUCCUGCCUCAACCUCCCAAGUAGCUGGGACUACAAUCCCACACCAAAACACCCAGGAUCUGAAUCAAGGACUUUAGAAUUCGUCAGAGCUGGGUUCCUAUCCCAUUUCCCACCCUUGCUGUUUGCUCUGAGACCUAGUUCAAGAACUACACCAGACAGAUAACAGUGUAAAAGACAGAGAUGGCCCCGUCCUCAUCAACUUUCAUGGGCCACGGACAAUUACUCUGACUGUGUGCGGGGGUCAAGGAGGAAGCAGGGUCAAGCACAAGACCUAAAGAAUGAGUGGGGUGAACUUCAUAAAAACUGUGGAUGGGAGGAAGUACAAGUCAUGACCAGCAAAUGGAACUGCACAAGUGUCUGAAAAGAACAAGUAAUAUGAUACACUUGAGGAACUGAAAGACAUCCAAAAGGAAGAGAGGAGGACAGCAGAGCUAUCCUGAUGGAAGAAGUGAAAGAGAGUGGGUAGGAGGCAGGAAGAAGUGGUCAAGAACCGGCUGCAGAGCCAACUUGAAGCCUACAAACAAAAAGCAUGACAGUUUUAGCACCUCAGAUGGAGAAUCUGUUAAUAAAUUGGUUUGCCACCUGCCUGCUCUCAACCUUUCACCACUGACUGUGGAUCUUGUGUUCUCUCCAUUGCUGAUUAAUAUUUAACUUAAAAAUAAA